GACAGAGGGUGCAAACGUUUGUUCGGAAUUACUGGGCGUAAAGCGUGUGUAGGCGGCCACGUAAGUCGGAUGUGAAAGCCCCAGGCUCAACCUGGGAAGUGCACUCGAUACUGCGUGGCUUGAGUAUCGGAGAGGUUGGUGGAAUUCUCGGUGUAGAGGUGAAAUUCGUAGAUAUCGAGAGGAACACCGGUGGCGAAAGCGGCUCACUGGACCAUAACUGACGCUGAUGCACGAAAGCUGGGGGAGCAACAGG
rnacentral:rRNA from 1 species